UUGUCUUGAUGACAAACCAAGGACAAAAGCUCAGCCCCAAGCAUUCCAGAAGGGGCCUGCCUCCUCUGGAGGAUGGAGGGGGCCAUCCUGCCCUGGCCUCGGCUGGGGGAGUGGGUGGUGUCCAGGGCACGUUUUUAUGGGGGGUGGAGACAGUGUGGAGAGAGGGAGCAGCUGAGCUGGGGCUUCCAGAACCCAAACCAAGUCAGCAGCCCCCAGCCCCAGCCCCAGCCCCAGCCCCAGCCCCGGCCUCCCCUGUCUGAGGUGUCUGGGUUUAAUUUUCUGGUCAGUGCAGAAAGCAGGAGGAAGAGGACGAGGAGGAGGAGAAGAAAGGAGCGAGUUGAAGUUCUAAUGCAGUCGGCUGGGAUCUGUCACUCAGCGCACAGCCCGCUGACGACUCAGGGCAGCCCCAGCUGUAAGCAGCCCAUGAUUUAUGGACACCGAGUGAACUCCUGCGGCAGAAACCAGCCUUGAGAUCAGAGCGGCAAUAGGGCCCUUUUUUUGGCAGGAGACAGGGCCUGCAUUUUUCUCAUUCAUGCCAAACUGCUUUGCACGGCAAUUAGCUCUGUCCUCAUUUAGUCUCCAGUCCCAAAGGGUAAUGAAAGUCAUAUAUCAUCUUCAAGACUGCUAAUUAUUGAGCUCGCUUACAGUUGUUUUUUGUGAAGAGAUUGCUCCGAUACAAGCUAAUAAUCCAUCAUAUCCAGAAGCAAAACAAAGAGCAUGGACUUCGGAGACAGACUUCCAGGAAUCGGAUCUCAGUUCCAUCAUUUACUUGUCCUGUGAUCAUGAGCAAGGCAGCUCAGUCCCGCUGCUCAAGUUGGGGAGACAAAAGGGAGCGGUGCGCACUGUGGGGAUCCGCGCCAGGAUAGAGGGUCCCUCCACCCCGCGCCUCGGCGGAGCAGAGCUUGAAACCCAGAACCUCAGACGGCGUCCACCUGGUCGCCCCAACGAGGCCGAGAAUGGGAGCCCAGAUCCUGACCUGGCCGGAUUGGUAGGGGCUUCUGGAUCCCGGGCCCCGGUGCUCUGUCCCGCGGCGCAGACCGGGAUAGACUGCAGACUGCGGAGAAAUCGGGACGUGGAAAAGCAGCCGCGGCGCCAGCCAGCCGCGGGUCCGGCCUCUGGAGAGAGGAAGCAGCCGGGCGGGGAGGGGGUUGCCUGGAGGGGUAGGCUGGUGGCUGCCUCUGGCCCUCGGCAGCCAGAAGAAGAAGCGAAGAGCAAAACUCCUUUUCUCCCUAGGGACAAGAGGGCUCCGGCGCGCUCUCCUCCCCAGGCCUGGGAAACAGGUUCUCAAGAGCCCUCCGACCCCCAAUCGAUCCCAGUCUCCCGCCUGGGACAGGGGAUGCUUGGAGAGCGAGGAGAGGGACGCGGGGAGCGGCACCUCCCCCAGGCCGAGGCUGGGCGGCCGAGUCCGACCUGCGCCGCUCUGAGCAAAACGAAACUCAAACUCCCAAAAUUCUCGACAGGGGAAUUUAAAAAAUUCCCCACCCCCCUUUCCUUUCACUUUUAACAAACCAGCAGCUGGGGGAAAAAUUAAACGAAAUGAGCGAUAGCUAAGGACGCUAUCUUUCCAAACUGUGAAACCCCUUUAAAAAAUAUUUUCGAAGGCCAGCCCCACAACUGGCCAGCUCUUCUGAAGCCUUUGCCUCUUCCUGAAAAUCACAUCAAAACAGUCGGAAAUGCGGCCAAGGUCCUGGGAUGGAGUAGCCGAGAGGCCCAGAGAACCCGCUGCUGCUGAAACCGCCAUGCUCUUCUUUCUCUUUAACCAAAAAAUAAAAAAGAUAAUAAUAAGAAGUAAAACCUUUUA
rnacentral:lncRNA from 1 species